rnacentral:rRNA from 1 species
AACGUAGGUGGCAAGCGUUAUCCGGAUUUACUGGGCGUAAAGGGUGUGCAGGCGGGCGGUCAAGUGGUGUAUGAAAUAUCCUGGCUCAACCAGGAGAGGUUAUGCCAGACUGACCGUCUUGAGUGCGAGAGAGGGGCGUGGAAUUCCGGGUGUAGUGGUGAAAUGCGUAGAGAUCCGGAGGAACCCCAGAGGCGAAGGCGGCGCCCUGGCUCGCAACUGACGCUCAGACACGACAGCAUGGGGAGCGAACGGG